rnacentral:hammerhead_ribozyme from 1 species
AUCCAGCCAAUGAGUCCCAGAUAGGGCGAAACGCGGGUCCUGGAU